UGAUUGAAUGAGUAAAAAGUUUAUUUGUCGAAAAGGAUAAAAAUGCAUAAGGAGCACGGUAUACACCUUAAAUUGGGAGAUUCAACUGCGAACCACAAAAAUGCUACAAAAGGAACGUGCAGCCCCUUCGAAACAUGCGAAAAAUAACUGAUGAGAGAGCAGCAUAUCCUCUGGACAUGGACAAAGCGUCUGCAUCAUACAAAAAUCGUUUGAAAGCUUUUUUUCAAUUUUACCUACCAAAAACAUGUGGAGAAAAUGAAAAAAAAAAAAACAUUG